GCGAUGUAUUUGUAUCCGAUGACGGCCGAGGAUGGAGGCAGAGAAAUCGGAGCUGCUCUCGGAUGUGCGGUCACGACUGUGGUUCACAUAUAGGAAAAAGUUUUCUCCCAUAGGAGGAACAGGCCCUUCAUCAGACGCGGGCUGGGGCUGCAUGCUCCGCUGUGGACAGAUGAUCCUCGCGCAGGCUUUGGUCUGCAGGCACCUCGGU